UCCACGGAAUUUUUCAAACUUGCGGUUC
rnacentral:piRNA from 1 species